CCUACGGGCGCUGCAGUGGGGAAUAUUGGACAAUGGGCGAAAGCCUGAUCCAGCCAUGCCGCGUGUGUGAAGAAGGCCUUCGUGUUGUAAAGCACUUUCAGUGGGGAAGAAAGCCUUGGGGCUAAUACCCUCGAGGAAGGACAUCACCCACAGAAGAAGCACCGGCUAACUCCGUGCCAGCAGCCGCGGUAAUACGGAGGGUGCGAGCGUUAAUCGGAAUUACUGGGCGUAAAGCGCGCGUAGGCGGUCUGAUAAGCCGGUUGUGAAAGCCCCGGGCUCAACCUGGGAACGGCAUCCGGAACUGUCAGGCUAGAGUGCAGGAGAGGAAGGUAGAAUUCCCGGUGUAGCGGUGAAAUGCGUAGAGAUCGGGAGGAAUACCAGUGGCGAAGGCGGCCUUCUGGACUGACACUGACGCUGAGGUGCGAAAGCGUGGGUAGCAAACAGGAUUAGAUACCCCGGUAGUC
rnacentral:rRNA from 1 species